rnacentral:rRNA from 1 species
UACGGAGGAUGCGAGCGUUAUCCGGAUUUAUUGGGUUUAAAGGGUGCGUAGGCGGCUUUUUAAGUCAGCGGUGAAAUUUUGCAGCUUAACUGUAACAGUGCCGUUGAUACUGGGGAGCUAGGAUUUGGUUGCUGUGGGUGGAAUGUGUGGUGUAGCGGUGAAAUGCUUAGAGAUUACACAGAAUAUCGAUUGCGAAGGCAGCUCACAAAGCCAAGAUUGACGCUGAGGCACGAAAGUGUGGGGAUCAAACAGGAUUAGAUA